rnacentral:misc_RNA from 1 species
GAUGAAGAACGCAGCGAAAUGCGAUAACUAAUGUGAAUUGCAGAAUUCCGUGAAUCAUCGAGUCUUUGAACGCACAUUGCGCCCCCUGGUAUUCCGGGGGGCAUGCCUGUCCGAGCGUCAUUGCUGCCCAUCAAGCACGGCUUGUGUGUUGGGUCCUCGUCCCCCCCGGGGGACGUGCCCGAAAGGCAGCGGCGGCACCGCGUCCGGUCCUCGAGCGUAUGGGGCUUUGUCACCCGCUCUGCAGGCCGGGCCGGCGCUGGCCGACGCGAAAGCAAACAUUUUUUCUCCAGGUUGACCUCGGAUCAGGUAGGGAUACCCGCUGAACUUAAGCAUAUCAAUAAGCGGAGGA